rnacentral:rRNA from 1 species
CCUACGGGAGGCAGCAGUGAGGAAUAUUGGUCAAUGGACGAGAGUCUGAACCAGCCAAGUAGCGUGAAGGAUGACUGCCCUAUGGGUUGUAAACUUCUUUUAUAUGGGAGUAAAAUGUUCCACGUGUGGGCUUUUGUAUGUUCCAUAUGAAUAAGGAUCGGCUAACUCCGUGCCAGCAGCCGCGGUAAUACGGAGGAUCCGAGCGUUAUCCGGGUUUAUUGGGUUUAAAGGGAGCGUAGGUGGAUUGUUAAGUCAGUUGUGAAAGUUUGCGGCUCAACCGUAAAAUUGCAGUUGAAACUGGCAGUCUUGAGUACAGUAGAGGUGGGCGGAAUGCGUGGUGUAGCGGUGAAAUGCUUAGAUAUCACGAAGAACUCCGAUUGCGAAGGCAGCUCACUGGACUGCAACUGACACUGAGGCUCGAAAGUGUGGGUAUCAAACAGGAUUAGAUACCCCAGUAGUC